UGUUCGUUUCGAAAUUCGUCAACGUCUUAAUCACGUCACGAUUUUGUCAAAAUUUGACAGUGGCGUAUCUGUCGGUAAGUACAACUGACAAGGUUAUUCGUUUAAAAUUUAAGAUUUCUGUGUUUCUCGGAAAUUUCGUAUCCGUUAGAGGCUUUUAAGAUCAUUAUCAGUUUGAAUUAAUAUUGAUUAAACGAUCUAUCUUUCGGGAAUAAACAAUAUUGAUAAAGUAGGUAUUCAACACACAAAACGAGAAUGUUCCUUAAUAAAAAAAAAAAAAAUCGAAUAAAAAUAUUUAAGGAAUAACAUAACAAAAUUGACAUCUUUUUGUGCACAAAAAUCUUGAGUAAUCAAAAUCUGUAAUAACUUGUCUUAGAAGAUUUCUUACUUAAAGAAAUAAAUAAAAUUAUGAGUAAUAGUAGCUGCUACAUAAACCGUACCAAGGAUUACCCGAAAAUAUAGUGAGUGCAAAAAGAGAACCGAGGAUAUAACAUGCCCCUUGUAACAAAAUGAUUACUCGUGUAACGAAAUCGUAAAAUUAAAAUACUCGUGCAAGUAAAUCGUGUGUAAGAGAAGUAAACGAAAAUACGUGCACGUGGAAAGUAUGUACGUGCGUAAUGUAUAUGGGUACAAAGAAAAAAAGAAAUCUUAAAUAAGAAACGAAAAACAAAAGGAAAAAGAAACGGGAUCGCGGAGACGAAGGUUGGUUCGGUUUACUUUUUGGUUAAGAAGCGGGAAAAGAGGGAGAUUGUACUGUCCUGCGAUAGAUCAAGUUCCAAACAACGCAACCAUCCUCCGUAUAGUUUUACCAUGCAUCCGUUUAUAGUUUUCUUUACGUGCUAUACGCGUGUAUGUGUUACACAUACACAUUUUAUUGCUCGAUUCGUGCUGUGAUACAUCCUGAUGCAAAAAUUCGUGCAAAAUUAUUGAUAAAUGUAUAAUAUGCAUUAAAGUGAUUUGAUUUAACACAAAUCUGUCAACAGGUGGAGCUCUCUGGGGUAUCCAACUCGCUUGUUAUCGGAAGAGCAAAGUCUUAUAUUUAUUUUAAUGUCUUACAACGUAUCAAUCAUUGAAAAUGUAAUAAAAUUGUUUAUAUAAAAAUUCUACAAUAUGAAAAGUUAAAUUUACAAUAUGAAAAGUCAAAUAUGUAUACGGACGAAAACAAAUUUUUGUUCGCCACGUUCUGAUUGGUCGUUGCUUGAAUACCAUGGCAACGGGACGAGAGUGGGGGAAGUGAUUUGGCGCCGAGAGCUCGCGUCGACAGGUCUGAUUUAAUCGGUUAAGUAAAAUACUAUUUUGUUUGAGAAACAAUUUUCAAUUAUUUGGUAAGUAGUUAAAAAUAGUAUUUAUAAACGUUUACUUCUUUCAAGCUGUUACCGAGACACCAAACGAGGAGUGUUAGUGAAAACAAGGCGUGCUAAGUGUCGAAUGUAAAUAUCGAUGAUUCCGGAAGUGCUUGGUAGAGACGCGAUAGAUGAGUUGAACUGGAAUUCGUUCGAAGUGGAAUGAGGAUUUACAGAAGAAGAAUAAUCAGAGAAGAGAAGAGUGAAAGCAAACCGGGUCCGGCGACGGUGACAGACGAUACUUUUAACGGUAUCCAUUUUUACUAAUGGGCAAGGUAAGAAUCUGGUCUGGCUCGAAUGAAGCAUUCGUACCUGCGUCUAAAAUGAUGUCCCCGACGUCACCGUCUCUAUCACCGUC